rnacentral:rRNA from 1 species
GUUGAACGCUGGCGGCAGGCCUAACACAUGCAAGUCGAGCGGAUGAAGGGAGCUUGCUCCUGGAUUCAGCGGCGGACGGGUGAGUAAUGCCUAGGAAUCUGCCUGGUAGUGGGGGAUAACGUCCGGAAACGGGCGCUAAUACCGCAUACAUCCUGAGGGAGAAAGUGGGGGAUCUUCGGACCUCACGCUAUCAGAUGAGCCUAGGUCGGAUUAGCUAGUUGGUGGGGUAAAGGCCUACCAAGGCGACGAUCCGUAACUGGUCUGAGAGGAUGAUCAGUCACACUGGAACUGAGACACGGUCCAGACUCCUACGGGAGGCAGCAGUGGGGAAUAUUGGACAAUGGGCGAAAGCCUGAUCCAGCCAUGCCGCGUGUGUGAAGAAGGUCUUCGGAUUGUAAAGCACUUUAAGUUGGGAGGAAGGGCAGUAAGUUAAUACCUUGCUGUUUUGACGUUACCAACAGAAUAAGCACCGGCUAACUUCGUG